GUUUGCUUCAACAAUUCAUAUACUAAAAUUGGAAUGAUACAGAGAAGAUUAGCAUGGCCCCGAACAAGGGAGCAAGUAUAACAAGCAAAUUCCUGAAGCAUUCCAUAUUUUU
ensembl:snRNA U6 U6 spliceosomal RNA